rnacentral:rRNA from 1 species
GGGCCAGACUCCUACGGGAGGCAGCAGUGGGGAAUCUUCCGCAAUGGGCGAAAGCCUGACGGAGCAACGCCGCGUGAUCGAAUGAAGGCCUUCGGGUUGUAAAGAUCUGUUGACAGGGACGAAUAAGCAAUGCGAAUAGUUUUGUGUAUGACGGUACCUGUUUAGAAAGCUCCGGCUAACUACGUGCCAGCAGCCGCGGUAAUACGUAGGGAGCAAGCGUUGUCCGGAAUUAUUGGGUGUAAAGGGUGCGUAGACGGGACAGCAAGUUAGUUGUGAAAGCCCUCGGCUUAACUGAGGAACUGCAACUAAAACUAUUGUUCUUGAGUGCAGGAGAGGAAAGCGGAAUUCCUAGUGUAGCGGUGAAAUGCGUAGAUAUUAGGAGGAACACCAGUGGCGAAGGCGGCUUUCUGGACUGUAGCUGACGUUGAGGCACGAAAGUGUGGGGAGCAAACAGGAUUAGAUACCCCCGUAGU